rfam:Trichinella papuae scaffold51s, whole genome shotgun sequence.
UGACUCUGGUUCCUCUGCAAGUCGCACAAAUCUUUCGCCUUUUACUAAAGAUUUCCGUGCAGAGGAGCAAAAAUGAGUACAGAGUUCGAUUUUUUGUAGGCCCUUUUGGGCUUU